CUGAACUGCAUUUUAUGUUAAUCAAACUAUACCAUUAAAAUAUCCUUAACAGAAGAUAGGAGGAUUGCAGCAUUUAAAAUGCAGAACUGUUCUUUCUAUCAGAAUGUUCAUUUAUAAAUGCCUAUUUCAGGAAACUAAAAGUUUGUCCUCUAAUUACCCCAUAAAAUAUAGAAAUUGGAUGUGUAAAGGUAGUGUUGUUUAUUGCCACAAGAAAAAUAAAAAAAUAUAAAAGACAAAUCCAAUGCAUAAAUAGCAUACUGAUAGCUGGUGGGUUACAUUUAGAGUAGUGCUCCAUUCACACACAGAGAGAAAGAGAGAGAUGGCUCCAUGUAUCCACUCAGCAUUCUACUGACAGGUGACAGAAAUGCAAUAUAUUAUAACAAAUACGGCUGUUAAAUUUCAGGCCCUUUGUGUCCAUCUAAGACAACAAUCUAAGAAACCCUGUUUUCAGUACUGGUACUCCUUAGUUAACUAUGGUAUUUGGGACUGGAAUUGCCAUUGCCAAGGGAUGCAGUUGCAACGUGGCCAUCACAUGACUGUGCAAUGUCAGUCUCAAUUGCUGUCAUAAGUAUUAUGUGCAUUGAGUUACACAAAGAUGUCACAUGAUUAUGACUUCCAACUUCCUACUGGCUUCCCCAUUGACUGCUUGGAAGGGUAUGUUGGAAAUUGCAAUUACCUGACUGCAGCUCACUGCAACAUUGUAAGUGUGAGCUUACAAAACACCAGUUACAAAACACCAGUUCAAAUUUUGCAAGGAAUCUCAUUCCAGAGAGCAGGCACUGCUGCCAGGCAAGGGUAACUUCCUGAGCCCCAUUAGAUGGCAUUGUUUAAUUGAAGCAAUCCAGAGCAUGGCAAGGCUUCCAAAUUGGAUCAACCAGGAAAACAUGAGGUCUCCCAAGUAACCAGACCGUUUCCAUUACCAGACUUUUUAUAUAUUGUGGCCAAUACUUUGAAUCAUACCUGGAAAUAAACUGGUAACCACUGCAGCUUGCAAAGCAUGUCCAUCGUCUAUCACUGUUUGUACCUCUAUAUUGUUAGAAUAGAGUGGAAGCUUCUAGGUGAUCUUCAAGGGCAGUUCCAUGUAGAAUUCAUUGAAGUAGUCAAACCAUGAGGUGAUCAGGGCAUGAGUGACUCUGAACGGCCUCCAAUCUAAGAAAGGGCACAACUGACACAACAGAUGAAGCUGUGUAGAGGCCUUACUAGCCACAGCCACCACCUGCUCAUUAAAAGGAGUUGUGAGAUGAAAAUACUCAACCAAGCAGAACUUUUUUGACUCAUUAUCUAUUUAAAUGAAGAAACAAACCAGUAUUGCAGAUGUUACAUAUAGUUGCUAUCCUGUUAUGCACCCUUUCUUUGUUCUUGGGUAUGGUUUAUUAAAGAAUAUCUUCCUGUGCUGUGUCUAGGCUGUUCCCUACCAUGGUUGGUCCUGUGAGGCAGUUGUACAACAGCAGAUUCAAAUGUCCACAUAUUAUAGGUAUACAUUUUUUUUUCUUUUUACAACCCUGUCAAUCCUUAAUUCAAGGUAAAAUCAGGGUGACUGAUGGAGCUGAGUGUUUACUGGCCAGAUGCCCUUCCUGAUGCCUAUAUGAAGUUCACAGCAGAUUUUUUUUUCUUUGCCUCCUAAGACAGAAACAUCUGCCACUACCCAGGAUUGAACUCAACCUUCCGAAUGGGAGGUUCUGAGUUCCCAGCUUAUCAUGGUGAUCUAUAGUAUGUAUCAAAUUACAUCUGAGUCAAUGCUAGGGCUACAAGACUGCAUGCUAAGAUUGUGUACCAUCAGAGAAGUCUCAGAUGAUAGAAAAUGUCAGCAUUUUUGGCUUGGUGUAGACCGACUGCUACCUUAUGCUGAAAUAACUAUCAGAGUCUUUAA